CCGGCGAGCCGCCCCGGGAUAGAGGCGCGCUAGGAGCGCGUGCGCAGCGGUGUCGGCGCGAGUCCCUGCCCCAGGGUCAGUCAGUCAGUUGCCGGCUGCUCGGUGGGGCCUCUGAGCGGACGUGGCGGCUGCGGGACGGGCCGCCCACCAGUUGAACGCUGAAUGCUCAGGCGGCUGAGGAGGAAAAUUGGCAUAUUAAGGAUGCUCAUACCAAGUGGAACAAAUCACUUAUUUUCACUGACCAGGAACUGUAUCCAGAAAGAGAGAAAGGCAUGCCAAAUCUAAUUGAUUACACCUUUUGCCUGGUAAAUAAGGCAGGGCCCUGCCCAGAGUUCCUCUCCUCCAGAG